CUCAAGGUCAAAAAUCACAAAAAUAGCACUUAAUAUUUUAUCAAAAGUCACAAACUUAGGGUUUAGAAUUAAAAGGUGGGGUUUAGGAUUUAGGGUUUAGGGUUUAGGGUUUAGAGUUUAGAUUUUAGGGUUUAGGGUUUAAAGUUUAGGAUUUAGAGUUUACGGUUUAGGGUUUAGAGUUGAGAAAUGAAGUUUUGGGGAUAAGAUUUCAAAUUUUGAAAAAUAAAAAAAUUAAAAUUUUCAAAGGAUAAACUUAGAAAGGUGCUAUUUUUGUGAUAUAAACUUAGAAAGAUGAUAUUUUGGAGAUUUGCCCAUACUUAAAUCAUUUUCUAUAUUUUCCCCAUAUGUUUGUUUUUCGCGCUUCGUGAUUUAAAAGUUCCGGUCACUUACCAACCAGUUUGAUCAUAAUGCAAUUA
rnacentral:lncRNA from 1 species